GAUGAACGCUGGCGGCGUGCUUAACACAUGCAAGUCGAACGAAGCACUUUACUUGAUCUUUUCGGAGUGAUUGUUUUGUGACUGAGUGGCGGACGGGUGAGUAACGCGUGGGUAACCUGCCUCACACAGGGGGAUAACAGUUGGAAACGGCUGCUAAUACCGCAUAAGCGCACAGUACCGCAUGGUAUGGUGUGAAAAACUCCGGUGGUGUGAGAUGGACCCGCGUCUGAUUAGCUAGUUGGCAGGGUAGCGGCCUACCAAGGCGACGAUCAGUAGCCGACCUGAGAGGGUGACCGGCCACAUUGGGACUGAGACACGGCCCAAACUCCUACGGGAGGCAGCAGUGGGGAAUAUUGCACAAUGGGGAAACCCUGAUGCAGCGACGCCGCGUGAGCGAAGAAGUAUUUCGGUAUGUAAAGCUCUAUCAGCAGGGAAGAAGAAAUGAACGGUACCUG
rnacentral:rRNA from 1 species